rnacentral:rRNA from 1 species
AGAGUUUGAUCCUGGCUCAGGACGAACGCUGGCGGCGUGCUUAACACAUGCAAGUCGAGCGGAAAGGCCCUUCGGGGUACUCGAGCGGCGAACGGGUGAGUAACACGUGAGCAACCUGCCCCUGGCUCUGGGAUAAGCCUAGGAAACUGGGUCUAAUACCGGAUAUGACCUUCCUCCUCAUGGGGGUUGGUGGAAAGUUUUUUCGGCUGGGGAUGGGCUCGCGGCCUAUCAGCUUGUUGGUGGGGUAGUGGCCUACCAAGGCGACGACGGGUAGCCGGCCUGAGAGGGCGACCGGCCACACCGGGACUGAGACACGGCCCAGACUCCUACGGGAGGCAGCAGUGGGGAAUAUUGCGCAAUGGGCGAAAGCCUGACGCAGCGACGCCGCGUGAGGGAUGAAGGCCUUCGGGUUGUAAACCUCUUUCAGCACCGACGAAGUUCCGGUAUUCGCCGGGGUGACGGUAGGUGCAGAAGAAGCGCCGGCUAACUACGUGCCAGCAGCCGCGGUAAUACGUAGGGCGCAAGCGUUGUCCGGAAUUAUUGGGCGUAAAGAGCUCGUAGGCGGCCUGUCGCGUCCGUCGUGAAAGCCCGGGGCUUAACUCCGGGUCUGCGGUGGAUACGGGCAGGCUAGAGGCAGGUAGGGGAGAAUGGAAUUCCCGGUGUAGCGGUGAAAUGCGCAGAUAUCGGGAGGAACACCGGUGGCGAAGGCGGUUCUCUGGGCCUGUACUGACGCUGAGGAGCGAAAGCGUGGGGAGCGAACAGGAUUAGAUACCCUAGUAGUCC